rnacentral:rRNA from 1 species
UACAGAGGUCCCGAGCGUUGUUCGGAUUCACUGGGCGUAAAGGGUGCGUAGGUGGUUGGGUAAGUUUGAUGUGAAAGCUCAGGGCUUAACCCUGAAAUGGCAUUGAAUACUACUUAACUGGAGGUUUGGAGGGGGACUGGAAUUCUUGGUGUAGCAGUGAAAUGCGUAGAUAUCAAGAGGAACACCAGUGGCGAAGGCGAGUCCCUGGACAACACCUGACACUGAGGCACGAAGGCCAGGGAGCAAACGGG